rnacentral:tRNA from 1 species
GCCCAGCUGGCUCAGUCAGUGGAGCGUUAGACUCUUGAUCUCAGGGUUGUGAGUUCUAACCCCAUGUUGGGCA